AGCGAACGCUGGCGGCAGGCCUAACACAUGCAAGUCGAACGAACUCUUCGGAGUUAGUGGCGGACGGGUGAGUAACACGUGGGAACGUGCCUUUUGGUUCGGAAUAACUCAGGGAAACCUGUGCUAAUACCGAAUGUGCCCUUCGGGGGAAAGAUUUAUCGCCAUUAGAGCGGCCCGCGUCUGAUUAGCUAGUUGGUGAGGUAACGGCUCACCAAGGCGACGACCAGUAGCUGGUCUGAGAGGAUGACCAGCCACACUGGGACUGAGACACGGCCCAGACUCCUACGGGAAGCAGCAGUGGGGAAUCUUGCGCAAUGGGCGAAAGCCUGACGCAGCCAUGCCGCGUGAAUGAUGAAGGUCUUAGGACUGUAAAAUUCUUUCACCGGGGACGAUAAUGACGGUACCCGGAGAAGAAGCCCCGGCUAACUUCGUG
rnacentral:rRNA from 1 species